GGGCGGAGCGAGGCUUCCCGGGAGCGCCCCGUCGUUCAUCCCGCCCUCCGUUUCAACCGGGUCCCGCACCGGCACCCGCCACCCGCGGCUCCGCGCUAGUUCCAGUCAGCCCGAGAAUCCAUACACCAUUCAUCUGUAAAGAGGUAUGAAAGGGAUGUGAGUCAUUAGUCAUCGUCAGGAAACACGUUUCUGAAAAAUUAAUACAUGACCAGUUGCCGGAUUGAGGUUAACGAAAACAGCAAUGAAGACCAAGCAUAAAAUAUUUGAAAAAAAUAGGAUGCAAAAUGGAUAUUCCAGAUGACAAGACUCUCGUUGUCGUUGUUCCCACGGAGUCAGAGCCCUAGAGCUGCCUGACCAUGGGUGUGCUGGGUCUCCUGGGACAGAACGGGGCUCACACUGCUCCUCAAAAAAAGACUUCAGAUACUUAAAAGGAACAGAAUAAAGUGAGAGAUUUACUAAGGAGAACUUUAAGA